rnacentral:lncRNA from 1 species
UUUAUUACUUUUCAGGAGUGGAACUACGUACGUUUACUUUUAGAUUUGAGCUGCUCAUACUUUACUUUUCAUUUGUGUGUGUUUAGGAGACGGAGACCAGAGGAGGCUGAAACCUGUUUGACCCACAGCUGUGUUCUGUUGUGUUCUGUUGUGUUGUGUUCUGUUGUGUUGUGUUCUGUUGUGUUGUGUUCUGUUGUGUUGUGUUGUGUUGUGUUGUGUUCUGUUGUGUUGUGUUCUGUUCUGUUGUGUUCUGUUGUGUUCUGUUGUGUUGUGUUCUGUUGUGUUGUGUUGUGUUCUGUUCUGUUGUGUUCUGUUGUGUUGUGUUCUGUUGUGUUGUGUUCUGUUGUGUUGUGUUGUGUUCUGUUGUGUUCUGUUGUGUUGUGUUGUGUUCUGUUGUGUUCUGUUGUGUUCUGUUGUGUUGUGUUGUGUUGUGUUGUGUUCUGUUCUGUUGUGUUGUGUUCUGUUGUGUUGUGUUGUGUUCUGUUGUGUUCUGUUGUGUUGUGUUCUGUUGUGUUCUGUUGUGUUCUGUUGUGUUGUGUUGUGUUGUGUUCUGUUGUGUUGUGUUCUGUUGUGUUGUGUUCUGUUCUGUUGUGUUGUGUUGUGUUCUGUUGUGUUCUGUUGUGUUGUGUUCUGUUGUGUUGUGUUGUGUUCUGUUGUGUUGUGUUCUGUUGUGUUGUGUUGUGUUCUGUUGUGUUGUGUUCUGUUGUGUUCUGUUCUGUUGUGUUGUGUUCUGUUGUGUUCUGUUCUGUUGUGUUGUGUUCUGUUCUGUUGUGUUCUGUUGUGUUCUGUUCUGUUCUGUUCUGUUGUGUUCUGUUGUGUUGUGUUCUGUUGUGUUCUGUUGUGUUGUGUUGUGUUCUGUUCUGUUGUGUUGUGUUCUGUUGUGUUCUGUUGUGUUCUGUUCUGUUGUGUUGUGUUCUGUUGUGUUGUGUUGUGUUCUGUUGUGUUCUGUUCUGUUGUGUUCUGUGUUUGAAGUCGUUACAACAUCACUCAUUUUAUUUUCAGUAG